UACAGAGGGGCAAGCGUUAUUCGGAAUUAUUGGGCGUAAAGGGCGCGUAGGCGGCUUGGCAAGUGGAUGGUGAAAUCCCUCGGCUUAACCGAGGAACUGCCGUCCAAACUGCUUAGCUUGAGACCGGGAGAGGUGAGUGGAAUUCCCAGUGUAGCGGUGAAAUGCGUAGAUAUUGGGAGGAACACCAGUGGCGAAGGCGGCUCACUGGACCGGUACUGACGCUGAGGCGCGAAAGCGUGGGGAGCAAACGGG
rnacentral:rRNA from 1 species